AUACAUGCAGUCGAGCGGACAGAUGGGAGCUUGCUCCCUGAUGUUAGCGGCGGACGGGUGAGUAACACGUGGGUAACCUACCUUUAAGACUGGGAUAACUCCGGGAAACCGGGGCUAAUACCGGAUAAUAUCUUUCUUUGCAUAAAGAGAGAUUGAAAGAUGGCUUUUCGCUAUCACUUAUAGAUGGACCCGCGGCGCAUUAGCUAGUUGGUGAGGUAACGGCUCACCAAGGCGACGAUGCGUAGCCGACCUGAGAGGGUGAUCGGCCACACUGGGACUGAGACACGGCCCAGACUCCUACGGGAGGCAGCAGUAGGGAAUCUUCCGCAAUGGACGAAAGUCCUGACGGAGCAACGCCGCGUGAGUGAAUGAAGGUUUUCGGAUCGUAAAGCUCUGUUGUUAAGGAAGAACAAGUAUCGUUCGAAUAGGGCGGUACCUUGACGGUACCUAACCCAGAAAGCCACGGCUAACUACGUGCCAGCAGCCGCGGUAAUACGUAGGUGGCAAGCGUUGUCCAGGAAUUAUUGGGGCGUAAAGCGCGCGCAGGCGGUCUCUUAAGUCUGAUGUGAAAGCCCACGGCUCAACCGUGGAGGGUCAUUGGAAACUGGGGGACUUGAGUGCAGAAGAGGAAAGUGGAAUUCCACGUGUAGCGGUGAAAUGCGUAGAUAUGUGGAGGAACACCAGUGGCGAAGGCGACUUUCUGGUCUGUAACUGACGCUGAGGCGCGAAAGCGUGGGGAGCAAACAGAGAUAUAGAUACCCUGGUAGUCCACGCCGUAAACGAUGAGUGCUAAGUGUUAGGGGGGUUUCCCGCCCCUUAGUGCUGCAGCUAACGCAUUAAGCACUCCGCCUGGGGAGUACGGUCGCAAGACUGAAACUCAAAGGAAUUGACGGGGGCCCGCACAAGCGGUGGAGCAUGUGGUUUUAAUUCGAAGCAACGCGAAGAACCUUACCAGGUCUUGACAUCCUCUGCUACCUCUAGAGAUAGAGGGUUCGCCCUUCGGGGGACAGAGUGACAGGUGGUGGCAUGGUUGUCGUCAGCUCGUGUCGUGAGAUGUUGGGUUAAGUCCCGCAACGAGCGCAACCCUUGAUCUUAGUUGCCAGCAUUCAGUUGGGCACUCUAAGAUGACUGCCGGUGACAAACCGGAGGAAGGUGGGGAUGACGUCAAAUCAUCAUGCCCCUUAUGACCUGGGCUACACACGUGCUACAAUGGACGGUACAAAGGGCAGCAAGACCGCGAGGUUUAGCCAAUCCCAUAAAACCGUUCUCAGUUCGGAUUGUAGGCUGCAACUCGCCUACAUGAAGCUGGAAUCGCUAGUAAUCGCGGAUCAGCAUGCCGCGGUGAAUACGUUCCCGGGCCUUGUACACACCGCCCGUCACACCACGAGAGUUUGUAACACCCGAAGUCGGUGGGGUAACCUUUUAGGGCCAGCCGCCUAAG
rnacentral:rRNA from 1 species